UACAGAGGUCCCAAGCGUUGUUCGGAUUCACUGGGCGUAAAGCGCACGUAGGCGGCUUUGUAAGUUAGAGGUGAAAGCCCGGGGCUCAACCCCGGAACUGCCUUUAAUACUGGCAAUCUCGAGUCCGAGAGAGGUGAGUGGAAUUCCUAGUGUAGAGGUGAAAUUCGUAGAUAUUAGGAAGAACACCAGUGGCGAAGGCGGCUCACUGGCUCGGUACUGACGCUGAGGCGCGAAAGCGUGGGGAGCAAACAGG
rnacentral:rRNA from 1 species